CUUAAGCAUAUCAAUAAGCGGAGGAAAAGAAACCAACAGGGAUUGCCUUAGUAACGGCGAGUGAAGCGGCAACAGCUCAAAUUUGAAAUCUGGCCCCAGGCCCGAGUUGUAAUUUGCAGAGGAUGCUUUUGGCGCGGUGCCUUCCGAGUUCCCUGGAACGGGACGCCAUAGAGGGUGAGAGCCCCGUCUGGUUGGAUACCAAGCCUUUGUAAAGCUCCUUCGACGAGUCGAGUAGUUUGGGAAUGCUGCUCUAAAUGGGAGGUAUAUGUCUUCUAAAGCUAAAUACCGGCCAGAGACCGAUAGCGCACAAGUAGAGUGAUCGAAAGAUGAAAAGCACUUUGGAAAGAGAGUUAAACAGCACGUGAAAUUGUUAAAAGGGAAGCGUUUAUGACCAGACUUGGGCCGGUUAAUCAUCCAGCGUUCUCGCUGGUGCACUUUGCCGGUCCAGGCCAGCAUCAGUUCGCUGCGGGGGAUAAAGGCGUCGGGAAUGUGGCUCCUCUGGAGUGUUAUAGCCCUUCGCGCAAUACCCUGCGGUGGACUGAGGUUCGCGCAUCUGCAAGGAUGCUGGCGUAAUGGUCAUCAACGACCCGUCUUG
rnacentral:rRNA from 1 species